rnacentral:snRNA from 16 species
AAACUUACUUGGCGGAGGAGCAACUGCGAUCAGGUAGGCAGUGCUCCCAGGGGGAGGCGUAGC